rnacentral:rRNA from 1 species
GCUUGUCUCAAAGAUUAAGCCAUGCAUGUCUCAGUGCAAGCUAAAUUAAAGUGAAACCGCGGAAGGCUCAUUAUAUCAGCUAUGGUUCCUUAGAUGGUACCAAAGUAUACUUGGAUAACUGUGGCAAUUCUAGAGCUAAUACAUGCAAAUAGAGUCCCUGCCUCCCAAGGCAGGGAUGCUUUUAUUAGAUCAAAACCAACCGGCCUUCGGGCUAGUUGCUCUUGGUGACUCUGACUAACUUUGGGCUGAUCGCACGGUCACGUACCGGCGACGCAUCUUUCAAAUGUCUGCCUUAUCAACUAUCGAUGGUAGGCUCUACGCCUACCAUGGUUGUAACGGGUGACGGGGAAUCAGGGUUCGAUUCCGGAGAGGGAGCCUGAGAGACAGCUACCACAUCCAAGGAAGGCAGCAGG